rnacentral:tRNA from 1 species
GGCCCGGUGGUGGAACUGGUCAGACACGCUUUAUAUAAUACGGAAAGUACAGUGCAGGUUCGAGUCCUGCCCGGGCCGCCC